CAGGGUUUAGGAGAACACAUGAAUGGAUGCUGAAGAAGCAGAUUACAACCUGUUUGAAAACCUGAUCGAAAGAAGGCUAAGGAAUGAGAGUACCAACUUCCAUUCUUCGAUGGAAGAAAUGAUCAAUAAAUCAAUCCGAGAUUAUUCCUCCUCUGACUCUUCAUCUGAUCCAGACGAAAAAGGUGACAUACCUGCUCUGCCUCGGGUUCAAAGC
rnacentral:lncRNA from 1 species